GUCUACGGCCGUAGCACUCUGAGCGCAGAUGAUCUCAUCUGAUCUCGGAAGCCAAGCAGGGUUGGGCCUGGUUAGUUCCUGGAUGAGAGACAGAAGUGCUGGAAGGCCCUGGGCU
rnacentral:rRNA from 1 species